AUUGAACGCUGGCGGCAUGCCUUACACAUGCAAGUCGAACGGUAACGCGGGGCAACCUGGCGACGAGUGGCGAACGGGUGAGUAAUGUAUCGGAACGUGCCCAGUUGUGGGGGAUAACUGCUCGAAAGAGCAGCUAAUACCGCAUACGACCUGAGGGUGAAAGCGGGGGAUCGCAAGACCUCGCGCAAUUGGAGCGGCCGAUAUCAGAUUAGGUAGUUGGUGGGGUAAAGGCCCACCAAGCCAACGAUCUGUAGCUGGUCUGAGAGGACGACCAGCCACACUGGGACUGAGAACCGGCCCAGACUCCUACGGGAGGCAGCAGUGGGGAAUGUUGGAAAAUGGACGCAAGUCUGAUCCAGCCAUGCCGCGUGCGGGAAGAAGGCCUUCGGGUUGUAAACCGCUUUUGUCAGGGAAGAAAAGGGCGACUCUAAUACAGUUGCCUCAUGACGGUACCUGAAGAAUAAGCACCGGCUAACUACGUGCCAGCCGCCGCCGUAAAAC
rnacentral:rRNA from 1 species